rnacentral:rRNA from 1 species
UACAGGGGGUGCAAACGUUGCUCGGAAUUAUUGGGCGUAAAGCGCGCGUAGGCGGCUACCUAAGUCGGAUGUGAAAGCCCCUGGCUUAACUGGGGAAGUGCACCCGAAACUGGGUAGCUAGAGUACUGGAGAGGGUAACGGAAUUCACGGUGUAGCAGUGAAAUGCGUAGAUAUCGUGAGGAACACCAGAGGCGAAGGCGGUUACCUGGACAGUUACUGACGCUCAGGCACGAAAGCAUGGGGAGCAAAAGGG